rnacentral:rRNA from 1 species
UUUCCCUCAGGAUAGCUGGCACUCGCUUGAGCGAGUCUCAUCUGGUAAAGCGAAUGAUUAGAGGCCUUGGGGCCGAAACGACCUCAACCUAUUCUCAAACUUUAAAUGGGUGAGAUCUCUGGCUUGCUUGAACGUUGAAGCCACGAGAAUUUCAUGGAUCAGAGUGCCAAGUGGGCCAAUUUUGGUAAGCAGAACUGGCGCUGUGGGA